UACGUAGGGGGCAAGCGUUGUCCGGAUUUAUUGGGCGUAAAGAGCGUGUAGGCGGCCAAGCAGGUCCGCUGUGAAAACUCGAGGCUCAACCUCGAGAGGUCGGUGGAAACCGUUUGGCUAGAGUCCGGAAGAGGAGAGUGGAAUUCCCGGUGUAGCGGUGAAAUGCGCAGAUAUCGGGAAGAACACCCGUGGCGAAGGCGGCUCUCUGGGACGGUACUGACGCUGAGACGCGAAAGCGUGGGGAGCCGAACGAGG
rnacentral:rRNA from 1 species